AUUCCAUGAUGCGAGUAUCUAUUAAUAAACUCCUCAAAUCAUUCUUGUGCUUCAUAACAUGAUUCAUUAUCCAUAUGUAUAAAAUUAGUAAUAUUGCUAUGCAU
rfam:Eucalyptus grandis cultivar BRASTZ1 unplaced genomic scaffold scaffold_3, whole genome shotgun sequence.